GACGAACGCUGGCGGCGUGCUUAACACAUGCAAGUCGAACGGAAAGGCCCUGCUUGCAGGGUACUCGAGUGGCGAACGGGUGAGUAACACGUGGGUGAUCUACCCUGCACUUCGGGAUAAGCUUGGGAAACUGGGUCUAAUACCGGAUAGGACCGCACUUUAGUGUGUGUGGUGGAAAGUUUUUUCGGUGUAGGAUGAGCUCGCGGCCUAUCAGCUUGUUGGUGGGGUAAUGGCCUACCAAGGCGGCGACGGGUAGCCGGCCUGAGAGGGUGUACGGCCACAUUGGGACUGAGAUACGGCCCAGACUCCUACGGGAGGCAGCAGUGGGGAAUAUUGCACAAUGGGCGCAAGCCUGAUGCAGCGACGCCGCGUGGGGGAUGAAGGCCUUCGGGUUGUAAACUCCUUUCGCUAGGGACGAAGCUUUGUUGUGACGGUACCUAGAUAAGAAGCACCGGCUAACUACGUG
rnacentral:rRNA from 1 species